rnacentral:lncRNA from 1 species
AGUGGGGUCGCGGGAGCGUGAAGGGGCCACUGAGAAGGUUUCUUUUUUCUUAUCUGAUCUUGAAUGACCAGACCUUAAUUGGUGUCAGGACGAGGUCCUUCCCCUAUCUCUGAUGUAAUCGGUUUCAGCUCAGGUUAGGAUGAGGUUCUCCUUCUGUUCCUAAUUGGACUGCGGGGGCACAUAUGGGCAUUGCAGGACCUCUCCCCCCAUCCGGUCUAAAGGUAACCGGGCCUUCGCCUUUGCUCAUGUUAGGGCGAGGUUCUCC